GAGGGUAGAGCUCUGUGGUAGAGCACGUGCUUAGCAUGCAUGAGGUCCUGGGUUCAAUUCCCAGUGCCUCCA
rnacentral:tRNA from 1 species